GCCUGGCAUGGUAGCAUGUGCCUGUAGUCCCAGCUACCGGGGAAACUGAGGCAGGAAGAUCACUUGAGCCCAUCAGUUCAAGACCUGCCUGGGUAACAUAGUGAGACCCUGUCUCAA
rnacentral:sRNA from 1 species